rnacentral:rRNA from 1 species
GCUGGCGGCAGGCCUAACACAUGCAAGUCGAGCGGAUGAUGGGAGCUUGCUCCUGGAUUCAGCGGCGGACGGGUGAGUAAUGCCUAGGAAUCUGCCUGAUAGUGGGGGACAACGUUUCGAAAGGAACGCUAAUACCGCAUACGUCCUACGGGAGAAAGCAGUGGACCUUCGGGCCUUGCGCUAUCAGAUGAGCCUAGGUCGGAUUAGCUUGUUGGUGAGGUAAUGGCUCACCAAGGCGACGAUCCGUAACUGGUCUGAGAGGAUGAUCAGUCACACUGGAACUGAGACACGGUCCAGACUCCUACGGGAGGCAGCAGUGGGGAAUAUUGGACAAUGGGCGAAAGCCUGAUCCAGCCAUGCCGCGUGUGUGAAGAAGGUCUUCGGAUUGUAAAGCACUUUAAGUUGGGAGGAAGGGUUGUAGAUUAAUACUCUGCAAUUUUGACGUUACCGACAGAAUAAGCACCGGCUAACUCUGUGCCAGCAGCCGCGGUAAUACAGAGGGUGCAAGCGUUAAUCGGAAUUACUGGGCGUAAAGCGCGCGUAGGUGGUUUGUUAAGUUGGAUGUGAAAGCCCCGGGCUCAACCUGGGAACUGCAUCCAAAACUGGCAAGCUAGAGUACGGUAGAGGGUGGUGGAAUUUCCUGUGUAGCGGUGAAAUGCGUAGAUAUAGGAAGGAACACCAGUGGCGAAGGCGACCACCUGGACUGAUACUGACACUGAGGUGCGAAAGCGUGGGGAGCAAACAGGAUUAGAUACCCUGGUAGUCCACGCCGUAAACGAUGUCAACGAGCCGUUGGAAUCCUUGAGAUUUUAG